rnacentral:rRNA from 1 species
UUCCAUGUGUAGCGGCGAAAUGCGUAGAUAUAUGGAGGAACACCGAUGGCGAAAGCGGCUCUCUGNUCUGUAACUGACGCUGAGGCUCGAAAGCGUGGGGAGCGAACAGGAUUAGAUACCCUGGUAGUNCACGCCGUAAACGAUGAGUGCUAGGUGUUAGGCCCUUUCCGGGGCUUAGUGCCGCAGCUAACGCAUUAAGCACUCCGCCUGGGGAGUACGACCGCAAGGUUGAAACUCAAAGGAAUUGACGGGGGCCCGCACAAGCGGUGGAGCAUGUGGUUUAAUUCGAAGCAACGCGAAGAACCUUACCAGGUCUUGACAUCCCGAUGCCCGCUCUAGAGAUAGAGUUUUACUUCGGUACAUCGGUGACAGGUGGUGCAUGGUUGUCGUCAGCUCGUGUCGUGAGAUGUUGGGUUAAGUCCCGCAACGAGCGCAACCCUUAUUGUUAGUUGCCAUCAUUCAGUUGGGCACUCUAGCGAGACUGCCGGUAAUAAACCGGAGGAAGGUGGGGAUGACGUCAAAUCAUCAUGCCCCUUAUGACCUGGGCUACACACGUGCUACAAUGGCUGGUACAACGAGUCGCAAGUCGGUGACGGCAAGCUAAUCUCUUAAAGCCAGUCUCAGUUCGGAUUGUAGGCUGCAACUCGCCUACAUGAAGUCGGAAUCGCUAGUAAUCGCGGAUCAGCACGCCGCGGUGAAUACGUUCCCGGGCCUUGUNC